AGUGUUGGGCUAGUAACCAGCAGGUAGUUUAGUGGUUAGAGUGUUGGACUAGUAACCAGCAGGUAGUUUAGUGGUUAGAGUGUUGGACUAGUAACCAGCAGGUAGUUUAGUGGUUAGAGCGUUGGGCCAGUAACCAGCAGGUAGCCUAGUGGUUAGAGCGUUGGGCCAGUAACCAGCAGGUAGCCUAGUGGUUAGAGCGUUGGGCCAGUAACCAGCAGGUAGCCUAGUGGUUAGAGUGUUGGGCCAGUAACCAGCAGGUAGCCUAGUGGUUAGAGCGUUGGGCCAGUAACCAGCAGGUAGCCUAGUGGUUAGAGUGUUGGACUAGUAACCAGCAGGUAGCCUAGUGGUUAGAGUGUUGGGCCAGUAACCAGCAGGUAGCCUAGUGGUUGGGCCAGUAACCAGCAGGUAGCCUAGUGGUUAGAGCGUUGGACUAGUAACCAGCAGGUAGCCUAGUGGUUAGAGCGUUGGACUAGUAACCAGCAGGUAGCCUAGUGGUUGGGCCAGUAACCAGCAGGUAGCCUAGUGGUUAGAGCGUUGGACUAGUAACCAGCAGGUAGCCUAGUGGUUAGAGCGUUGGACUAGUAACCAGCAGGUAGCCUAGUGGUUGGGCCAGUAACCAGCAGGUAGCCUAGUGGUUAGAGCGUUGGACUAGUAACCAGCAGGUAGCCUAGUGGUUAGAGCGUUGGGCCAGUAACCAGCAGGUAGCCUAGUGGUUAGAGUGUUGCGCCAGUAACCAGCAGGUAGCCUAGUGGUUAGAGUGUUGGACUAGUAACCAGCAGGUAGCCUAGUGGUUAGAGCGUUGGACUAGUAACCAGCAGGUAGCCUAGUGGUUAGAGCGUUGGACUAGUAACCAGCAGGUAGCCUAGUGGUUAGAGUGUUGGG